GACGAACGCUGGCGGCGUGCUUAACACAUGCAAGUCGAACGGAAAGGCACCUUUGGGGGUACUCGAGUGGCGAACGGGUGAGUAACACGUGAGUAACCUGCCCUUGACUUCGGGAUAACUUCAGGAAACUGGGGCUAAUACCGGAUAGGAAUCCUUGCUGCAUGGGGGGGGUUGGAAAGCUUCGGCGGUUUUGGAUGGACUCGCGGCUUAUCAGCUUGUUGGUGGGGUAGUGGCUUACCGAGGCUUUGACGGGUAGCCGGCCUGUGAGGGCGACCGGCCACAUUGGGUCUGAGGUACGGCCGCGGCGCCGACGGGAGGCAGAAGUGGGGAAUCUUGCACCAUGGGCGGAGGCCUGAUGCAGCAGGGCCGCGGGUGGGAUGACGGCCUUCGGGUUGUAGAACGCCUGCAGCAGGGGCGAAGCUUGUGGUGACGGUACCUGAAGAAGAAGCACCGGCUAACUACGUG
rnacentral:rRNA from 1 species